UACGUAGGGCGCAAGCGUUGUCCGGAAUUAUUGGGCGUAAAGAGCUCGUAGGUGGUUUGUUACGUCCGCUGUGAAAACCUAGGGCUUAACCCUGGGCCUGCAGUGGAUACGGGCAGACUAGAGGUAGGUAGGGGAGAAUGGAAUUCCUGGUGUAGUGGUGAAAUGCGCAGAUAUCAGGAGGAACACCGGUGGCGAAGGCGGGUCUCUGGGCCGAUACUGACGCUGAGGAGCGAAAGCGUGGGGAGCGAACAGG
rnacentral:rRNA from 1 species